AAUUCUGAUUGAUUUUUGCAGACGGGUCACCCCUCUCCCCCAUCCCCUAUCUCUUGCACACUGUGGCGGCGAUCUAGAUCCGGUGGGAUGCCGUCGACUUGCGCAGUCCGUUCACGGUACUCUGGCUCGCAAGUCGUCUGGAUCCGUCUCCCGGGCACCCCCGACGUUGCUCUCCACAUCAACCCAGCAACCGCUACCAAGGUCCACUCCCCCAGGGCACCACCUCGCCUUCAUCGCGCCGGACUACGGCGGGUUUGUAGCCGGCCGGAAGACCCAUAGCACGGACGUGCCCGAGUGGAUGCAGCCUGACGGCCACACGUGCCAGGUCUUCUUCCUCGCCCCCAACGAUUGAAGCUCGUUGAAAAGAAAAGAAGACCUGGAAUUCAUCAAAAAGUCGCACGCAAAUGCACCAUUUGUAAGGAACUGGUGCUCCAUGAUGCAAGGACAUGCUCUAAGAAACAAAUGACACAACAGUAGAGAUGCAUGAUGCUCUGACAACAGGAAAUAACAAGACUACAGAUGGAUAGAAGAAGCUUUUAUCAAAGUCUCCCCUUUCUGAUAAUUGAGAGAAGUUUUAUGCAAGAUAAAUAUAACUCUGUUCUUGAUCACGCAUCUGUACUUGUCUGUGCUCAAGUAAAUCGUGUUUGCUUGGUGUGGUCUCUCCCAGAAAAGAAGCUUGAUGAGCAAGUAGUGGAACUGGAGGGAAAUGCUAGAGCUUUUCUGUUAUGUACCGUCAAGAUAGUAGAUUUUAUCGUUUUAAAUAGCAAUGCAUGUUGAGUGAUCAUCAUAUUAGUCCUUAAUACUUUGUCUUGCUGGCCAUGUACUAAAAAUAGUGCUACCAUGUCUCAUCAACAUAUGUACUAAAAAUCUUGCUGGCCAUGAUACGUAUUUUCAUAUUUUGCACUGACAA